rfam:Aedes albopictus isolate Foshan contig53092, whole genome shotgun sequence.
GCUGAGGUGUCCGAGCGGUUAAGGAGAUGGACUUGAAAUCCAUUGGGUUAUACCCGCGCAGGUUCGAAUCCUGUCCUCAGCG